GACGAACGCUGGCGGCGUGCUUAACACAUGCAAGUCGAGCGGAAAGGCUCCUUCGGGGGUACUCGAGCGGCGAACGGGUGAGUAACACGUGAGUAAUCUGCCCUGUGCUCUGGGAUAGCCACCGGAAACGGUGAUUAAUACCGGAUACAACCACUAUCCGCAUGGGUGGGUGGUGGAAAGUUUUUUCGGCACAGGAUGUGCUCGCGGCCUAUCAGCUUGUUGGUGAGGUAAUGGCUCACCAAGGCUUUGACGUGUAGCCGGCCGGAGAGGGUGACCGGUCACACGGGGACUGAGACACGGGCAAGAGGCCUAGGGGAGGCAGCAGUGGGGAAUAUUGGACAAUGCGCGGAAGCCUGAUCCAGCAACGCCGCGUGAGGGAUGACGGCCUUCGGGUUGUAAACCUCUUUCAGUACCGACGAAGCGCAAGUGACGGUAGGUACAGAAGAAGGACCGGCCAACUACGUGCCAGCAGCCGCAGUAAGAC
rnacentral:rRNA from 1 species